rnacentral:rRNA from 1 species
ACUCCUACGGGAGGCAGCAGUGGGGAAUCUUGGACAAUGGGCGCAAGCCUGAUCCAGCCAUGCCGCGUGAGUGAUGAAGGCCUUAGGGUCGUAAAGCUCUUUCGCCAGGGAUGAUAAUGACAGUACCUGGUAAAGAAACCCCGGCUAACUCCGUGCCAGCAGCCGCGGUAAUACGGAGGGGUUAGCGUUGUUCGGAAUUACUGGGCGUAAAGCGCGCGUAGGCGGGUUGUUAAGUUAGAGGUGAAAUCCCGGGGCUCAACCCCGGAACUGCCUUUAAUACUGGCAACCUAGAGUUCGAGAGAGGUGAGUGGAAUUCCGAGUGUAGAGGUGAAAUUCGUAGAUAUUCGGAGGAACACCAGUGGCGAAGGCGGCUCACUGGCUCGAUACUGACGCUGAGGUGCGAAAGUGUGGGGAGCAAACAGGAUUAGAUACCCUGGUAGCGACUGA